GGCUGCACUUUCAUUAUUGCGUCCUUUAAUAUUUUAUUUACUUUCACUUUCACUUUUCACUUUCAAGUGAUCAAUAUAAUGGUCGAGAUUCGUGGAGGAGUCGUCAUGCUUAUUUUGGGUUAACGUCUGUUUUAGUGGUUCUGAAGUGGGAACACGCUGGUUAGGGUCGGAUCUCACACAAGCACACAUUUAAACGUGUUAAGGCUGCUUAUAAAUAGGAUGAAGGCAUCUAAAGUACGAUAUACCUAACGGUCUCACAAGUCAUUUUAGAUGUGUUAACAUCUCCAGCAACAAUCGUAAACGUGAUAUCAUAACGUGAGGUCGUAACGUGAUAAAGUAAAC
ensembl:lncRNA